rnacentral:lncRNA from 10 species
CAGAAGUUUUUCUUUGGCAAAUAGCCUGGGACUAAGAGAUUUUGAGACCUGUCAUCAAACCUUGGCAAACUCUACAAUCUUCAAAGAAUGACAUAGCAAUACCCAGAGAAGGCUGAAUAUAUUCCUCUGAAUAAGGUCUCACUGGGUAUCUGAGGCCAAGGCGAAAAUGUCAAAACAAAAAGAACAUAAGCUCCAUGAAGAAAAAAGACUCUCUUCUCCCUUGCUGUUCUAAACAUCAGUUACAUAAGUUGUGCAAUCAUUCUUGCCAUUAUAAGCCCUGAAGAGAAUCACUGUUUGACUCAAAAAUGAGAAGAGUGGUAGAAAAAGGAAGAGUGUGAUUUGAUCAUGGAUAAACACUGAAAGGAAGCAGGAAUGAAGACAUGGAGUAAAACAAAACUAAAGUGUGUAUGUGUUAUGAAAAAAAUAUACUGUGAGGUUGGCAUUAACUGAGAAAUGAAGGCAAAAGAAAAGUAACAUGAGAACAUGAACAUGAUAUCCCUGGUUGGAAGUGUUGGGGACUGGGGUAGGGAAAUAAAAAGGAACUAGAAUGAAAAGCAAUGCACAAAGCAGUGCUUUGUCUCAGUCACCAGGUGGCAGGAUGGGCCCAGGACAGCGUAGUUGCUAGUCUGCUUUUGGGAGGGUGGGGAGGUAUGAAGAAAAGUGCGAGCCGUUUUCCAGUGAUCCAUGGGUGUAGAGUAUGGCCAGAAAUUAACACAUUGGUGCCUUUGUAAAUCAAGUGCUCAUAACUUGGAGACUAUGUCUUGUCUAUAGCAUCUCUGUUAUGGUGACCUAUACAUCGAAAUAUUAUUAGUUGGUAAAGCUUCAGAUGUGGGUGGGUCAGAAUUUUAUUUGAAUUCUUCUCUUAAGUUUAGUUCCUAAAACAACCAAAGUUCAAUAAUUUAAUUGAUACAAAUACAUAUGUCUAAUAUAA